rnacentral:tRNA from 1 species
UCCCAAGUGGCUCAGAUGGCAAAGUGUCUGCCUGCAAUGCUGGAGACCUGGGUUCGACCCCUGGGUUGGGAA